GACGAACCGUGCAAACGUUGUUCGGAAUCACUGGGCUUAAAGGGCGCGUAGGCGGCAGACCAAGUCCGGGGUGAAAUCUUUCGGCUUAACCGGAAAAGGGCCUUAGAUACUGGUUUGCUAGAGGGAGGUAGGGGUCUGUGGAACUUCUGGUGGAGCGGUGAAAUGUGUAGAGAUCGGGAGGAACACCGGUGGCGAAGGCGGGUCUCUGGGCAUUUCCUGACGCUGAGGCGCGAAAGCGUGGGGAGCAAACGGG
rnacentral:rRNA from 1 species